ensembl:lncRNA
CUCGCUCGCUGGCUGCCUCCGCUGGUGGGAGCCGCCCCGCUUUGAUGCCUUCGCUGCUGGAAGCUCAGCGGCCUGUGUGACAUCACUCUGGGCACCUCCUCCUCCUGUCGCCUGGCCUGAGUCUCCCUGUGCUCCCCAAACCUCCGGCGCCUUCCCAUGAAGCUGGGCCCUCUGGGACCCUGCCAUCAAGGCCCCAGGGACAUCAGCGCUUUCUGCAGGAUGUCGGGGCAAUAAGCAGUAAGGCUCUUCGGCACUCGCUCUGCUCUGUGAAGAGAGGAUACAGCAGAAACAAUGCCUCCCCUGAAGAAGACCCAUCUUCUCUACCUUUGAUGAAUGUGGCAGUUGGAGUUCCAGCACUUACGGCCAACAACUUCAGAAAAAAGGGAGACAGAGAAUCCAGAGGCAAGCAGUCCAGACUGGAGUGGCAGCUUCACGGUGAUCAGGGGACCCAGACUCCUGCCAUGCUGCUCCACCCGCUUUGCAUAUCGCUCUAUAAUUUGCAUAUCGCUCUAUAAUCCAAGGUAAUUGCUCAAGUCCCAGCCGUUGCGUUUUCAUUGCAGGCAGCAGGCAGGAAGAAGUGGGGAAGAAGACGUACCUCUUCCCGGUUAGGGAGCCUCCCCUGGAGUCCCACACGAUGCUUUGCUUAAAUCUCAUCGGUUAGAACAAAGUCACAUGGUCAUAUCUAGUUGCAAAAUUGCCUGGGAAAAGGAAUCUUUUAGAAGAGUGGCCAUGUGCCAGCUGAAAGUGGUCAUUUAGGUGAGAUGGCCAGAAAUCUGCCAGAGAAAGGAAAAAACUGUACAGUUACUUCCAGAUCUUGUGAUUGUCUACGUGGAGAAGUGCAGAGGCCCCUGACACGCACCUUUAAAACUAGGAAGAGACUUCAUCAAGGUUGCUAUAUAAGCGAAAGACUAGUAGAAACAAAGAUAUCAUUCAUGAAGGCAAUUAAACUAUGAUACAUCUAGAAAUAACUAUAGAAAUAUAUAAUUUUAUGGAAAAUAAUAAUAUUGAAAGAUAAAAAGUAACCUAAAAACAGUGAUAUGACAUUCUCAUGAAUGACAAAAUUCACCAUUUUGAAGAAAUCCAUUCCCACUAAAUUUAUCUACAAAUUUGAAAUAAAUCCAAUAAAGGUCUCCACAGCAUGUUUCUUGGAAAUUGGCAGAUAUUUUAAAUUCAUUUUUGGGAGAAUCAAUGGCAAAGAAUAUCCACGAAAAUGCUGAAGAAGAAAUAGUGGGAUUUGCCUACCAAAUAGCAAGAUGUAUUAUGAUAUUAAAACUUUGUAUAAGUUACACAUUGAAUCACUGUUGGAGAGUAGCCCAGAAACAGCCUUUACAAGUAUUUAACCUUCGUCUAUGACACAGCUAACAUUACAGAUCAAUGAACAACUGAUGCUGGGGCAAAUGCUUAUUCAAAUGGAAAAACUAAGACUGUAUCUGUAUCUCACUGUGUGCACAAAACCAGCUGCAGAUGGAUUAAAAAUAUAAAAUGAAAGUCAAAUGCUAAAGUUUGAGAACAAAAUUUGGGAGGCUAUCUUUAGUGCCUGAAGACAUUGAAGGAUUUACUAAAUGACACACACAAAGCAUUAGCCAUGAAGAAAACAACUGACAAAUUGGACUACACUGAGGCUCUGAGUGAAAAAAAAUCAUGACAAAGUUAAAAGACAAACAGUAGACUAGAAGGCGGCACGUAGGAGGCACUUAAUUCAGAGGACAAGUUUCAUAACAAAGAACUGUGCAUCCGUAAGAAGACGGCUCUCAACCCAGUAGGAAAUGGAUUUGAAAAGCUGUAAACAGUUUGCCAAAGAGAAAACUCAAAAGGCUGAAUAAUCGUAUGAAAACAUCCUUUCUCUCACUAUAAUCAAAAAAAGGGCAAAUUAAAUAAAAAUGUGUUAGCAUUUCAAACCCA